UACGGUGGGGGCAAGCGUUGUUCGGAAUUACUGGGCGUAAAGGGCUCGUAGGUGGCCAACUAAGUCAGACGUGAAAUCCCUCGGCUUAACCGGGGAACUGCGUCUGAUACUGGAUGGCUUGAGUUCGGGAGAGGGAUGCGGAAUUCCAGGUGUAGCGGUGAAAUGCGUAGAUAUCUGGAGGAAUACCGGUGGCGAAGGCGGCAUCCUGGACCGGCAUUGACGCUGAGGAGCGAAAGCCAGGGGAGCAAACGGG
rnacentral:rRNA from 1 species